rnacentral:rRNA from 1 species
GACGAACGCUGGCGGCGUGCUUAACACAUGCAAGUCGAACGGAAAGGCCCCUUUUGGGGUCCUCGAGUGGCGAACGGGUGAGUAACACGUGAGUAACCUGCCCUUGACUUCGGGAUAACUUCAGGAAACUGGGGCUAAUACCGGAUAGGAAUCCUUGCUGCAUGGUGGGGGUUGGAAAGCUUCGGCGGUUUUGGAUGGACUCGCGGCUUAUCAGCUUGUUGGUGGGGUAGUGGCUUACCAAGGCUUUGACGGGUAGCCGGCCUGAGAGGGCGACCGGCCACAUUGGGACUGAGAUACGGCCCAGACUCCUACGGGAGGCAGCAGUGGGGAAUAUUGCACAAUGGGCGGAAGCCUGAUGCAGCAACGCCGCGUGCGGGAUGACGGCCUUCGGGUUGUAAACCGCUUUCAGCAGGGGCGAAGCUUGUGGUGACGGUACCUGCAGAAGAAGCACCGGCUAACUACGUG